UCCUACGGGAGGCAGCAGUGGGGAAUAUUGCACAAUGGGGGAAACCCUGAUGCAGCCAUGCCGCGUGUGUGAAGAAGGCCUUCGGGUUGUUAAAGCACUUUCAGUAGGGAGGAAGGUAGUGUAGUUAACACCUGCACUAUUUGACGUUACCUACAGAAGAAGCACCGGCUAACUCCGUGCCAGCAGCCGCGGUAAUACGGAGGGUGCGAGCGUUAAUCGGAAUUACUGGGCGUAAAGCGCAUGCAGGCGGCCUGUUAAGUCAGAUGUGAAAGCCCGGGGCUUAACCUCGGAAUUGCAUUUGAAACUGGCAGGCUAGAGUCUUGUAGAGGGGGUAGAAUUUCAGGUGUAGCGGUGAAAAUGCGUAGAGAUCUGAAGGAAUACCAGUGGCGAAGGCGGCCCCCUGGACAAAGACUGACGCUCAGAUGCGAAAGCGUGGGGAGCAAACAGGAUUAGAUACCCUGGUAG
rnacentral:rRNA from 1 species